CUUACACACAGCUGUAACCAACCAGUUAUUUAAUGCAACUUUUCUAUUAUAUAGAUUCUUUGUAUCUUAAAAUUUUUAAUAUUGAAUUGCAAGAAAAAGGUUAUUCCUUUCCAAAGGGAUAGGUUGCCAUGAAACGUCUGAUUAGGUAGGUGAUGAUUGUAUUUACAUUUAAACUUUUUUUUAUUGUGACCACUAAUGGGAUUUUGUCUUUCCUUUCAAU